AACGCUUUCAUCAAGGGUUGUCCGUAAGCACUUCUCGACAUUUUGUCUUAUGAAAACAAAAAUGUCACUAGGAGGGUCCAAUGCGGUUCUCUGCCUGAAAUUAACCUCAGGCUCUGGCAAAAGCCCCCUACCUAUACCCGUUGGACCUCCUGGGGACCAUGCAUCUACCGCAGACAGAGAAGAACACGUUCCCGUACGACCUGUGGCUGCUCUGUUACGAGCUAUCAGACUCGCAUCUGUGAGUGUGCA